UCCAGACUCCUACGGGAGGCAGCAGUGGGGGAUAUUGCACAAUGGGGGGAACCCUGAUGCAGCGACGCCGCGUGGGUGAAGGAGCGUUUCGGCGCGUAAAGCCCUAUCGGCAGGGAAGAAGGAGGACGGUACCUGACUAAGAAGCCCCGGCUAACUACGUGCCAGCAGCCGCGGUAAUACGUAGGGGGCAAGCGUUAUCCGGAUUUACUGGGUGUAAAGGGGGCGCAGACGGCAGCGCAAGCCAGGAGUGAAAGCCCGGGGCCCAACCCCGGGACUGCUCUUGGAACUGCGCGGCUGGAGUGCAGGAGGGGCAGGCGGAAUUCCUGGUGUAGCGGUGAAAUGCGUAGAUAUCAGGAGGAACACCGGUGGCGAAGGCGGCCUGCUGGACUGCGACUGACGUUGAGGCCCGAAAGCGUGGGGAGCAAACAGGAUUAGAUACCCCUGUAAAC
rnacentral:rRNA from 1 species